AUUGAACGCUGGCGGCAGGCCUAAAACAUGCAAGUCGAACGAGUGGCGGACGGGUGAGUAAUGUCUGGGAAACUGCCUGAUGGAGGGGGAUAACUACUGGAAAAGGUAGCUACAACCGCAUAACAUCAGAUGUGCCCAGGUGGGUUUAGGUAGUUGGUGGGGUAACGGCUCACCAAGGCGACGAUCCCUAGCUGGUCUGAGAGGAUGACCGGCCACACUGGGACUGAGACACGGCCCAGACUCCGACGGGAGGCAGCAGUGGGGAAUAUUGCGCAAUGGGCGCAAGCCUGAUGCAGCCAUGCCGCGUGAAUGAAGAAGGCCUUCGGGUUGUAAAGUACUUUCGGCAGGGAGGCGUUAUCCACAGAAGAAGCACCGGCUAACUCCGUGCCAGCAGCCGCGGUAAUAC
rnacentral:rRNA from 1 species